UUGAAAGAUGGCUUCUCGCUAUCACUUACAGAUGGGCCCGCGGCGCAUUAGCUAGUUGGUGAGGUAACGGCUCACCAAGGCGACGAUGCGUAGCCGACCUGAGAGGGUGAUCGGCCACACUGGGACUGAGACACGGCCCAGACUCCUACGGGAGGCAGCAGUAGGGAAUCUUCCGCAAUGGACGAAAGUCUGACGGAGCAACGCCGCGUGAACGAUGAAGGUCUUCGGAUCGUAAAGUUCUGUUGUUAGGGAAGAACAAGUACCGUGCGAAUAGAGCGGUACCUUGACGGUACCUAACGAGGAAGCCCCGGCUAACUACGUGCCAGCAGCCGCGGUAAUACGUAGGGGGCAAGCGUUGUCCGGAAUUAUUGGGCGUAAAGCGCGCGCAGGCGGUUCCUUAAGUCUGAUGUGAAAGCCCACGGCUCAACCGUGGAGGGUCAUUGGAAACUGGGGAACUUGAGGACAGAAGAGGAGAGUGGAAUUCCACGUGUAGCGGUGAAAUGCGUAGAUAUGUGGAGGAACACCAGUGGCGAAGGCGACUCUCUGGUCUGUUUCUGACGCUGAGGUGCGAAAGCGUGGGUAGCAAACAG
rnacentral:rRNA from 1 species